UUCAGCACAUUGAAUGUCUCAACGGUCCGAGUUCCCUGGAGCUUUCAGUUCCCCUUUUUCCCUGCUCUGAAUUGCUUUGAGCCUCUCACUUGAAGUUCCCACCCCAUCCCUGUGCCGCAGGCACUGACACCAGCCCUGGCGCUGCUCAACUCCAUCCAGCUGCUUCUGGGAGGCUUGCAAGCAGCACCGGAGGUGCAGCUGUGUGCAGCUGUUGUGAGCAGGAGCCCAGCAGUGGCACUGUGCAGGACGGGGAACCCAAAGUGUUGAUGCUUCCAGCUGCUGUAGCAGUGCUCAUAGUGGGGUCAGCACUUACCCAGGCUGACGUCAGGCUGCAGAGAGCCACGGCUCUCAGCUCUGCAGCAUCCAACCCUGUCCAUCCAGCACUGAAGGAGAGGACGAGCCUGGACGUCCCUGAGCUGCAGAAGACACUGUUGUGAUGGAAAGUCCAUUGCCAGCUGGGAAAAUGCAGAGAGCAUUCAAAAAAGCCUCAAAAAUUAGUCAGCAAACCUGGGCUCUCUUAUGGAAAAACAUUCUGCUGGUGUGGAGGAAGAAAACAGAAAGCUUCCAGGCAAGUGUCUGUUCUUCCAAAGGAAAUUUA